rnacentral:lncRNA from 1 species
CCCACACCCCCUUUCUCUUCUCCCUCUCUUCUCCCCUAAGGUUCCAACGCCCAAAGGUGUUGGGCGUCCAACAUCUCUAUGCCCAAGAGAAGCUUGGGUGUCUCCUUGCUUGCUGGUUUUCAAAUCUUGAUUGCUUCAUAAUCAAAGAAAGAAGAGUAAGAGAAGAAGAAAAGAAAAAAAUCAAGAAAAAAAUCAAAGAGUUGAUUACGAUUCAGGCUUCGUUCAGAUUCACAGGGUGA